rnacentral:misc_RNA from 1 species
UAUGCUUUGAAAUUGGCGUAUAAUAUUUGUUUUAAUAGUUCUAAUGAAAUGAUGUCCUAGUCUAGAACUAGAAUGAAUGACGAUAUCUCCUUUCAUGGAAUCUAAACCGGGCUCCACCAAACACACGGACCCCCACUCUGUUGACCAAAGAAAAAACUUCCUUGGUACGCAGAGUGGAGGAGUGGAUUUCAUUUCGGUGAUUCUUCUAUCUUUCCCCGUGCCCGUGUCUGAACUCAUUUCUGCUAUUAAGGCUACCAAAGAAGAAGGGACAAAGAUUUCCAUCGACCAUUGUUCCGGGCCAUUGUUCAUUUUUUGAUUCAUAGUAACUCAGAAUGGAUGCAGGCCACUUACGCCACCAAUGCCAUCUAUAGCAAAUUGAACUCUAUUGAUGUAACUAAGCUCACCAGUCGUGACUUCCUUGUACGUGGACAUAACACGAGUGAAACCCAAAAUAAAAAUUGGAGUGUAUUCAAUUGUUGCAUUGCGUGGGCAUUCCCGGCCAACAUUCCAUGAAUCGUAAAACAGAUAACGAGAAUCAUUUAGAAUGAGUGGUCGAGGAGGAUUUUAUAUAUAAAGACUAGAUACGUUUCACUCUCUCAUCACGGGCAUUCAUAAUUGCUUACUUCAGCGUACAUGGUGCUCACACUGAAAUCGAAGAUGAGUUUAUGGACACUUGCAUUUGUUGUUCUGGUGUGUCUUGUUGUCGAUUUGUCGGGUGCGUCGAUAAAGAAAUCUGAAGCGUGUGCAGCACUUCAAAAAUACAAAUUCUUGCAAGAAGACUUAAUAAAUCUCGAAUUCGAAAAGGUUACACUGGACGAACUGACAACUAGUAUCGGAAAAAUGGCGAAAACAGUCGGGAAGAAGGUGGUCUAUCCUAAGUUCAUUUUGUAUGAAGAAGAGUUUGUAGAUUUUGUCCAAAAGUUAGCGAAGCAAGCAAAGAAGCUUUUGAAGUCUAAAAAAGCAUUAGAUGCCGUGAUAUCUGCAAUACGUAAAUGUCUGGAUGAUACCACCGACCUGAAUGAAAUUGUCAGAAAUUGGGUGCAAAAUUACUUAGACGGCCUAAUUAAAGUCAUGGCGGUAGAUAAGUUAGAAGGAGUCGCAGAAAUGAUAAGGCAAUUUGAAAGCAAAGAUGCAGGUUCUCGUUCCAAUCGGCUUUCGACAGAGAAGCUCAUGAAUUUAUUUACGAAGCUGGUGAGAGCAGAAGCUACUUGGAUCAAAGCUGUGAAAGGGAUGUAUAAAAAGUUCAAAAUUGGGGUGUAUCGUCUUCCAAAAAUCCGAGCGGAAAAAGAGGAUACUUGCAAAGGAAACUUUACGUGCACCGGAAAGGACGAUUGGAAGCUCGUUGGCUCCAGAUGUUUUCUGUCAGUUGCUAGUCUUGCACACUACUCUUUGGCUCAGAAAGGUUGCAUGGACCGCGGGGGACACGUUGCGUCGAUUCAUAAUAAAGAUGAAAACAAUUAUCUUGCAUCGGAGCUGAGAAUAGGAAAAGCAGAUCAUGCAUACUACAUCGGACUGAAUGAUAUCGACAAUGAAGGUGAAUUUGUGUGGCAUGAUGGCUCACCCGUAGAUUUCGAAUUUUGGGCCUCAAAUGACGGAAAAAAGCUUGGAGUGGCUGGGGACAAAGAUGACUGUACCCAGAUGAUGCCCCAUUUAUGGGGUUACAAUGGUCAUUGGAGGAACGUACCGUGUUACUAUGGCUACGGAGGAUAUUUCUGUAGUAAACCAGCGACGUUAAAGAGCCAGGGACUCAUCCCUGAUAUGCCAUUCGAAACAUAGAUCUCCAAUCAAGAAGUCCACUUGCAACAAUAUGCGACAUUAUUAUACUGUUACCGUAUAGUAUGUCAAUCGUGUGUCUCUAUUUACUGUUCAUCCCCAAAAAUCUGAUCCAAAUAAAUAUUAUGCAUUGGACAUUUAAAAAA